CUUCGGCGGGCCCGCCAGCCUUCGGGCUGGCCGCCGGGGGGCGUCUCGCCCCCGGGCCCGUGCCCGCCGGAGACCCCAACAUGAACCCUGUUCUGAAAGCUUGGUGUCUGAGUGUGAUUGUUUGCAAUCAGUUAAAACUUUCAACAAUGGAUCUCUUGGUUCCGGCAUCGAUGAAGAACGCAGCGAAAUGCGAUAACUAAUGUGAAUUGCAGAAUUCAGUGAAUCAUCGAGUCUUUGAACGCACAUUGCGCCCCCUGGUAUUCCGGGGGGCAUGCCUGUCCGAGCGUCAUUGCUGCCCUCAAGCCCGGCUUGUGUGUUGGGCCCUCGUCCCCCGGCUCCCGGGGGACGGGCCCGAAAGGCAGCGGCGGCACCGCGUCCGGUCCUCGAGCGUAUGGGGCUUUGUCUUCCGCUCUGCAGGCCCGGCCGGCGCCCGCCGACGCAUAACAACUUUUUUUCCAGGUUGACCUCGGAUCAGGUAGGGAUACCCGCUGAACUUAAGCAUAUCAAUAAGCGGAGGA
rnacentral:misc_RNA from 1 species